rnacentral:lncRNA from 1 species
CCCUCAUUUUAGCUCUUUCUUCCUCCCUUCUUUUCUUUUUCUUUUUCUUCUAGCAACUGAGCAAUCUAGAACUCAGAGAUGUAAAAUAAUGUUCCUAGCAUCACACAGUGCAGGUGAGAACCCAGCAAAGGAAGGCAGAGACGCCUGCUUCUCUGCCACCUGGUAUCAUGCCUCCUCAAUUAUCUUAGCACUCUGCACACAUGCAGUCCUAAGUUUGCCUGUGACAGACAUUUAUGACUUGCAAUGGAAAGCUCGGCUCACAGUUUCACACUUCGCAGAGAAACAAUCACGCAGAGCAGUCACCAGGAAAGAAGGGUUUAACACCAAGGGAAGAAAGGAAAGGAGGAACAAGAAGAGUCUUUCAAAUGAUAAUGAGGGCAAUUACCACAGACUGUUUUAGAUGGAGGGGUGAUGCAAGACAUAAUUUGAGCUUGCAAGGAAAUAAGUUAUUGCAAAAGUAAACAAACUGUACAAAGAAGGGUUUAAGAGAUAAACUCCAGGGACUUCCACUUCUGGCCAAGAUGGAGUAACAAGGAACCAAUUCACCCUCCUGAAACAACCAACUAACAAACAAAAACAGAAAAAUAUAUGAAAUCACUAUUUUCAAGACAGUAGAUAUCAGAAAACAAAAGUCAAUGAUCUCUGAAAGAUGGAAAGCAGACAAAGUAAACCCUACAAUUGCUCCAGGUCACAGCUUAAAAGAGAUUCAAGGUCACGGGUCAAGAAAAGGGAACCCAGGCAGAGCCUCACAGAGUAACUACCCUGAGUUUAAGAGACAGAGCUGAACAUCCUGUAAGACCAAAGUAAAUAGACUCUGUAAGGCAGAGAAAGCUGCUCAGAGAGAGAAAUCUGCAGAUCUGCAGAGUCCACCUCAAGAAUUCAGCAGAGUCCACAUCAGCACAUGCUUAUAAGGAAACUUCUCGAAAGUAGGUUAUGCCUUUCCCUGGACAGCUGAUAUGGUGACUGAUGUGAACGAAGCAGGCAGGCAUCCAAAGGAGCAGCUGUUUUCUCCUAACCUGGUGCAACUCUGAUGGGCAGUAUUCACUGCAGAGCUCCCUGCCAGCUUGGCUGUAGCACACUGUUGGGACCAUUACAAAUGUUUACUUCCUCUCUGCUCAAUCCUGCCUCCACCCCCUUCCUUUCACAAGUAUUGAUCCCUAAUAAACAUAUGCACAUCAAACCUUGUCAUCUCAGCCUAUGCCUCCAGAGAUUGCAGCCUGCGACAGGUGAUGAUUCCAGAUGACAGCAAGUUUAAAUCUGGUCUUUGGAAAACUGUGUGGUGUAAUUUAUUGGAAAGAAUUAACUUUGAAAAAAAAAAGGUUGUGUGUAUGACUGUGUGGGGUGGACAUACAGUCUGAUUAUGUUAUGUUUGAAAUGCCUAUCAAAUAUCUGAAUAGGGGUGUAAAGAUACUUAGCUAUGUGAUUCUGGACCUCAAGGGAGAAAUCAAAGCCAGAGAUAAAAAUAUGAAUAUCGCCAGCAUGCAGACAGAAUUUAAAGCCAUGGAACUCCAUGGAAAGAGUCUCCCAAACUGCUUGAAAACACACUAGAGAUCCCACAGGCA